GGCGCGGGGGUGGCCGGCGCGGCGGGCGGGUCCAGGUAGGCUCCCCGGAGGCCCGGGCUGGCGGGAAGCUGGGCGUGGAGGGGACCGGGGGCCUGCGCCGCGACCCCGCCGCGCUGCCGUUGUUCCCAGGCGAUUGCUGUUUCGCGGCUCGGCGAUGCAGACCACGUAAAGGACGACGGAAAACGUCUCCCUGCUGGCGCCGGUUCUGUAACGUAUUGAGCGCUCACGUUCUGAAAAAAACCUUUGGACCCUCUUCUACCUCCGCCGAGAAAGCCCAUCUGGAAGGAAACUCUAAACAGCUUCAAGUGUCACUUGGCUGACGUCACAGCCGACCCGAGAGAGGCAGGAAGAAGUUGUACUUCUACUGAAGAGAUCUUUUUCUUCUCAUACAGGCCACGUCUUGAAAAUCAAAGGUCAGGUUCAUUUUUUUUGUUUUGCCUAAUCCAAGAAGUUGUAAAUUAUGCUGAAGCCAGUUACCCUGCAGCAUCAAAUGGGUUCUGAAUCCAAGUACAAAGAUGACGUUUGGUGUGCUCUGGUACAUUUGUACUUUUUAAAAAAUUUUUAAUGUUUAUUUGUGAGAGAAAGAGAGAGACCGAGCAUGAGUGGGGGAGGAGCAGAGAGAGAGGGAGACACAGAAUCCGAAACAGGCUUCAGGCUCUAAGCUGUCAGGACAGAGCCCAACGCGGGGCUCAAACUCAUAAACAGUAAGAUCGUGACCUGAGCCGAAAUCAAGAGUCAGAUGAUUAACCAACUGAACCACCCAGGUGCCCUGAGCCAUUUUAUUCUUUUUUUUGUUUUAAUGUUUAUUUAUGUUUUGAAAGCGAGAGAGGGGCGCCUGGGUGGCUCAGUCGGUUAAGCGUCCGACUUCAGCUCAGGUCAUGAUCUCACGGUCCGUGAGUUCGAGCCCCGUGUCGGGCUCUGUGCUGACGGCUCAGAGCCUGGAGCCUGUUUCAGAUUCUGUGUCUCUCUGUCUCUCUGCCCCUCCCCUGUUCAUGCUCUGUCUCUCUCUGUCUCAAAAAUAAAUAAAACAUUAAAAGAAAAUUAAAAAAAAAAAAAAAAGAAAGAAAGAAAGCGAGAGAGACAGAGUGCAAGCAGGAGAGGAACAGAGAGAGAGGGAGACACAGAAUCCAAAGCAGGCUCCAGGCCCUGAGCUGUCAGCAUGGAGCCCGAUGCGGGGCUCAAACUCACGAACUGCAAGAUCAUGACCUGAGCCGAAGUCAGAUGCCCAACUGACUGAGCCACCCAGGCACCCCUGAGCCAUUUUAUUCUUGAUGAACAUAUAUUUCCAGAUUUUGGCAGUUAUAAACAAUGCUGUUAUGGAUAUUUUCAGUUUUGUACCCUGGCACACCUGAGCACAUGC